CUUAGCUCAGCGGUUAGAGCAGCGGACUCAUAAUCCGUGGGUCGCAGGUUCAAAUCCCGCAGGGGC
rnacentral:tRNA from 1 species